UUUUAUUAAAUUAUGUAGAUAAAUGAUGGAAAUUGUGUGGAUCUAACGCUCCUACUUUGCAAAAGACAGCUGUUCGAAUUCUUGGUCAAGCAGUUUCUUCUUCGAGAUGUGAAAGGAAAUGAAGUGUCUUUGAACGUAUUCACAGGAAAAAAAGAAAUAGAUUGGAGCAUCAAAGACUCAAUGAUCUUGUCUACGUUACGUAUAAUUUGCAAUUGAAGGAUAGACGUUAUUAUAAGAAGAGAUCUUAUGAUCCAGUUGAUUAUGAGUGUAUUGACAAAAUAAACUUUCGGAUAGAGGAAGACGUGCCACCACAAGAUUUCAAGUAUGAAGACCUAGAUAAUGCUAUUUAUGAAGAAAACGCAAUUUCCAACGUUAAGGAUCUUGAAAUUGACGAUAAUGUUCAAGAUGACAAUGAAAAUAAGGAUGAGAUUAAUACUCAAGAAAUGGGAGAUUUAGACGCACUAGAUGUUAUUCAUCGUUUUGAUAGUUCAAGUGAUUGUGGAAGUGAUCAAGGGUUUUACGCUUAUAGAUGAAAAUGAUAAAGGCGAAAUUUAACUGUUUAAUCUUUUAUGUUUAGUGUACUUUUUAGUUCCUUUUAUUACUUGAAAUUUUUUAUUGGUGAUAGUUGAUGUGAAACUUUUAAAUUUUAGCUAUUUUAGUUUUCAUGUUAUU